AUUGAACGCUGGCGGAAUGCUUUACACAUGCAAGUCGAACGGCAGCACGGACUUCGGUCUGGUGGCGAGUGGCGAACGGGUGAGUAAUGUAUCGGAACGUGCCCAGUCGUGGGGGAUAACGUAGUGAAAAUUACGCUAAUACCGCAUACGAUCUAUGGAUGAAAGCGGGGGAUCGCAAGACCUCGCGCGAUUGGAGCGGCCGAUAUCAGAUUAGGUAGUUGGUGGGGUAAAGGCCCACCAAGCCAACGAUCUGUAGCUGGUCUGAGAGGACGACCAACCGAGCUGGAACUGAGACACGGUCCAGACUCCUACGGGAGGCAGCAGUGGGGAAUUUUGGACAAUGGGCGAAAGCCUGAUCAAGCCAUUCCGCGUGCAGGAUGAAGGCCCUCGGGUUGUAAACUGCUUUUGUACAGAACGAAAAGGUUUCUACUAAUACUAGGAGCUCAUGACGGUACUGUAAGAAUAAGCACCGGCUAACUACGUGCCAGCAGCAGCCGCCG
rnacentral:rRNA from 1 species